GGAGAUUUAGCUCAGCGGUAGAGCGCUUGCCUAGCGAGCGCAAGGCCCUGGGUUCGGUCCCCAGCUCCG
rfam:Rattus norvegicus chromosome X, whole genome shotgun sequence.